rnacentral:rRNA from 1 species
UGGGGAAUAUUGCACAAUGGGCGAAAGCCUGAUGCAGCGACGCCGCGUGAGGGAUGACGGCCUUCGGGUUGUAAACCUCUUUCAGCAGGGAAGAAGCGAAAGUGACGGUACCUGCAGAAGAAGCGCCGGCUAACUACGUGCCAGCAGCCGCGGUAAUACGUAGGGCGCAAGCGUUGUCCGGAAUUAUUGGGCGUAAAGAGCUCGUAGGCGGUUAGUCGCGUCUGCUGUGAAAACUCGAGGCUCAACCUCGGGCUUGCAGUGGGUACGGGCUGACUAGAGUGCGGUAGGGGUGACUGGAAUUCCUGGUGUAGCGGUGGAAUGCGCAGAUAUCAGGAGGAACACCGAUGGCGAAGGCAGGUCACUGGGCCGCAACUGACGCUGAGGAGCGAAAAGCAUGGGGAGCGAACAGGAUUAGAUACCCUGGUAGUCCAUGCCGUAAACGUUGGGCACUAGGUGUGGGGUCCAUUCCACGGAUUCCGUGCCGCAGCAAACGCAUUAAGUGCCCCGCCUGGGGAGUACGGCCGCAAGGCUAAAAACUC